CUGGGUCCAUCUCUCUUGCCAUCCAGAAAAGUCAGAGCAACUGGUCUUGCUGGUUUUAAGUGUUGCCUGUGUUUCUGGCAUUGGUCACAAAGCCUACUGCCUGCUAAUCGGCAAGUGGACCUGUUUCUCUAACAAUGGCCCGAAACUUCACAACAUCAAAGGAGAAAUCAUUGCCAGCAAAAGCAUUUCCGGGUAGUAGGAAAGAAUACAAGUGAAUAACAUUAGUCCAGAAGUUUUAAUAAUAUUCUUUGCUGGUUGAAAUUCAUGUUUAAUAUGAUGUAAAUUACUUGAUAAGCAAAUUAAGAACUAUGCUACUACAGACUCCAAAUAAGACGCAAGAAAAAUGAGAGGAAAUACAUUAAAGGAAAAUCUUAAAAAAACAGCUGCACAGAAGAUAAAUUAUUUUUCCAGGAGUUUUAAACAUAGUUGCUUUUGUUUGUUUGCUUUGCUGUUUUUUCUUAAUUGUUUUAGUAAGCUCAGGCUGCUAUAUAAAAAUAAGAUAGGCGCUGGUCUGAACAAUAGACAUUUAUUUCUUAUAGUUCUUGAACCUGGCAAGUCUGAGGAGGGUCAUCUUCUGGGCUUUCAAAGGGCUGCCUUUUUCCUAUGUACGUACAUAGUGAAUAGAAAGCGUUAGCUCUCUGGUCUCUACCUGUAAGAGCACUAAUCCCAUCAUGAAGACCCCAUCCUUAUGGGCUCAUCUAAACCUAAUUACUUCCAAAGGUCCCACCUCCAAAUGCUAACACAUUGAGAGUUAAGGCUUCAAUAUAUUAAUUUUGGGGAAACAAGACACAGUCCAU
rnacentral:lncRNA from 1 species